rnacentral:sRNA from 1 species
CUGGGGUAAGGGUGGGGUAGGUCAGGUUGUAGGACUCAUUUAUGUUACUUUGCAAACCAGCUUACUGUUAAUGCUUAUUAACAAUGCAUUAUUUUAGAUAUCCAGUGUUAGGAAAGGGUAUUUUGUCAAGAAUAUAAUAGAUCUUACAGUUUCUUAGGAUUUAACUGACAUAUCAAUAUUCUUAUAGCAGAAAUAAGAAGGAUAAAAAGAGAGAAAAAGAAAGGGACCACAUCAGUGAAAGAAGAGAGAGAGAACGUUCAACGUCUAUGAGAAAGAGUUCUAAUGAUAGAGAUGGGAAGGAGAAGUUGGAGAAGAACAGUACUUCACUUAAAGAGAAAGAGCACAAUAAAGAACCAGAUUCAAGUGUGAGCAAAGAAGUAGAUGACAAGGAUGCACCAAGGACUGAGGAAAACAAAGUACAGCACAAUGGGAAUUGUCAGCUGAAUGAAGAAAACCUCUCUACCAAAACAGAAGCAGUAUAGGACCGACAAGUGUACCUCUGCACUCAAUGCUGGAAUCAAAUCCAAAGCUUUUAAUUCUCUCAACAAGAUGU